UACGUAGGGUGCAAGCGUUGUCCGGAAUUAUUGGGCGUAAAGAGCUCGUAGGCGGUUUGUCGCGUCUGCUGUGAAAACCCGAGGCUCAACCUCGGGCCUGCAGUGGGUACGGGCAGACUAGAGUGCGGUAGGGGAGAUUGGAAUUCCUGGUGUAGCGGUGGAAUGUGCAGAUAUCAGGAGGAACACCAAUGGCGAAGGCAGAUCUCUGGGACGGUACUGACGCUGAGACGCGAAAGCGUGGGGAGCGAACAGG
rnacentral:rRNA from 1 species